ensembl:lncRNA
AUGGAGCACAAGCUGAUCCUGGCGGUGUCCGGCUUCCCGAGUCUCUACGACACCAACUCCCCGACCUACCGGGACCUCAACAUGCGGGCCGACUCCUGGCGACACGUCUCGGACAUCGUCGGUGUCCCCGAGGCAGAAUGCCGGAGGAAGUGGAAGACGCUGCGGGACCAGCACCGCAGGGAGAGGCAGCGGGAGAAGGACCGGCGGGAGAGCGGCAUCGGCCUCUUCAACUACCGGCCCUGGAGAUAUUCGGCCAUCUUGUCCUUUCUGAACCCGUUCAUCGACGCCAGAGCCGCGGGCUGCAACGGGUGGGCUCUGGACCCUCAGCCCCCCCAGCUCCACCCCUCUGAGACGGGCUGCAGCACCACCACGGACACCCGGAGCGACGACGAAGACCACUACGACGUCUCCGUAGUCGACGCCACAACAACCACCACCUCCUCCUCCUCCUCCUCGGAGUUCCUCCACAGGAAGCGUCCGUCUUCUGCCAGCAGAGACGGCGCCAUCGGGUUCAAGGAGGCGAAGAUGGAGUCAACCUCGGGGAUCGCCUGCGUUACGACGACGCCGCACGACAACAUGAGGGAGCUCUUUGAGGUGAUGAUGCAGUCGGUCACGUCUCUCGCCGCCUCCUUGGCCUCUUCCUCGGAUCAGCCUCCUCGUCCCGACCUCCGUCACCUCCCGCCACACCGAGCCCCCCCCGUGCCGCCCUGCACCGCGUCUAGGCUCAACCACUUGAAAACAGAGGAGCAGGAGGCCGUAGCGGCAGAGCUUCUGGACGACCGAACCGACGCCGAGGAGGAGGAGGAGGAGGAGGAGGCGUCCACUAGGCCGACCCGAGCCAGGAGCUGGAGCAGCGACGGCCUGCUGCAGGAGUACGUGAGGAGGAUGGAGGCCAGGGAGGCCCAGAGAGACCGGGACCUGGACCUGGACCAGAGAGACCAUGUGACCCUGUUCCUCCUGAGCCUGGCUCCGGCCAUGAGGAGACUUCCUGCUGAGAAGCAGUCGUGGGUCAGGACCAAGAUGCAGCAGCUGCUGCACGAGGCCGAGUUCGGCGCUUUGAGUUUUCAGUGAUCCUUACAUGUUUUACAUUUUUAUCAAUACUUGUGAACUAAAAAAUAUAUUCACCUUCGAAGGAGUUUUUCUCCAUUUCUAUGAUAAUCUAACAGGUUUGUGCAGUUUUUUAAAAUAAAAACCCCAUUGUCAGUCAUUCCUAUCUUAUAUAUGAAUUAUUAAUGGAAAGUCAAACCACUUAUCCUGCACACGGGGUCGCGGGGGGCAGGAGUCUGUCCCAGCCAACUUCAGGCGAUAGACGGGUUCAUCCCGACUGGUCACCAGCCCGCAGGGCCACACAGAGACGCACAACCAUCCGCCCAAAUGACAUUAAUCUUUAUUUAUCGGGACCGUUUUAAUGAUCAUAAAUAUACUAAACAAAUACAUAUAUACAUGGAAGAGGGAGGAUGAAGAUGAUGAACAGGGGGAGGAAGAGGAGGAGCUGGAAGACGCCAGCCCGGAAUCAUCCACCAACAACAAGCCUCUGACCGCCGGAGUGGGAAUGAUGGAGGCGGAGGAGGGCGGCGCUGCUCACAGCAACAUGGCGGACAACAAAGCUCACGGUUCAGGGUGAACCGGCUCCUCCGUGCACGGCACCAUGGACCGGGUGCACCACUCCCACGAAGCCUACAGCAGCAACGACCCGCACGGCCCCUUCCCGGACUACCGAGCCGGCUACGGGAGCAGGGGAUACGGGGCCACGAUGAGUCCCGGAGGUAGUCUGACGGGUCCCGGCGGCUCUGCUAAAGCAGCUGUGCUAGCUAGCGGCGGCAACGACGGGGGGUUGCAGCGGUUUCCCGGUCGGCAGCAGCUCCCCUCCGGGGCCACACCGACUCUGAAUCAGCUGUUGACGUCCCCGAGUCCGGUGAUGCGAGGCUACAGAGCUGGAUACCCGGAUUACAACAACCCUCCUGCGCAGCUACAGGCUAGCACGGGGCUAGCUGAGGAGACGAGCUCGGCUGCGCACGGAUGGGAAGGACAACAGGGAAGUCUCCCGACCACGAGCACGGGGGACACCCGUCGUAAACUCGUCUGACUACCGGUAAUCAGAGAAAGUCAUCUUACUGCAGCUAACAUGCUAACUCAGCCAGUUAGCCGCUAUGCUAGCCGAGAUAAGUUAGCCGAUUGGCUAGGUGGGGUACUUUAUCCGUUUCCACUGCAGACAGUUAAGUUACUUAUUCACACACCCAGUCAUUCUUACGACCAUAGUGUAAAUAAGUAGACGGCCGUUCAUUCAACCGCAAAUAACUGCCGUGAAAGUCAAAGUCAUUGUUUCGAUUCCGUGUCCAAGGUGACACCGUUGUUAGCAUGCUAAGGUAAUGUAAGCUACUGUUGCACAGGUGUUCCGGUGUGGGGGCUUUUGUUGUGAAGGGGGAGAGGAAGUUGGUGUGGUGUUGAACUGGGGCUGUUGAAAGAAGGAAGGAGGAAUAAAUGUUCUGCGCCGGUUCGGCUUUUAUUAUCUACACAAAUUAUAGGGGCACCCGAACCCCUCGGCUACAGUAACAUUAACUUCAGCUUUUGGUAUUUGCUGCCGACGCGAUGGCAGAUGUGUGUGUGUGUGUGUGUGUAGUUGCGUUGCUCUAUUGUCUGAGUAAAUUGACCGUAAUUACCGUUUUUCUCGGAUGUCCGUCUUCUUUGAUGUGUGGCAUCCAGUAGUGAUCGCAAAGUGAAGCUUUCCAGCCAACUGUAUCGGAAAAAGGUUCAUUCAUUCAAUGCAUCGCAAACUCUAUGAUGACGUCUGCUGUUGAAAACUUGUAGUGCAAAUGUAUCGCCUACCAGUAUAUUUGGGCCCAAUCUCUGAUUAUGAAAAGUUGAACCAAUAAAUCAUCUAAUAAAUACAUGGAUUCCUAUAUGAAUAAAAAUAUUGUUUUUCGAGUUUGAAUUGUGUCCUUGUUUGUGUAUUUCAAUUCUCUGUACAUUGGAAAGAAGUGGAACAAACACUUAUCUAUGUCUUUCUGCACCUUUGUGCAUGUAUGUUUGUGAUCAUACUAGC